UACGAAGGGGGCGAGCGUUGUUCGGAUUUACUGGGCGUAAAGGGCGCGUAGGCGGCCCUCCUUGUCGCGUGUGAAAGCCCCGGGCUCAACCUGGGAACAGCGCUUGAGACUGGCACGCUCGAGUUCGGGAGAGGAUGGUGGGAAUUCCCAGUGUAGAGGUGAAAUUCGUAGAUAUUGGGAAGAACACCGAUGGCGAAGGGCAGCCAUCUGGACCCGACACUGACGCUGAGGCGCGAAGCGUGGGGAGCAAACAGGAUGA
rnacentral:rRNA from 1 species